GACGAACCGAGCGAACGUUGUUCGGAAUCACUGGGCUUAAAGGGCGCGUAGGCGGGCAUUCAAGUCUGUGGUGAAAUACUCCAGCUCAACUGGAGAACUGCCGUGGAUACUGGGUGUCUCGAGGGAGGUAGGGGCGUGCGGAACUAAUGGUGGAGCGGUGAAAUGCGUUGAUAUCAUUAGGAACUCCGGUGGCGAAGGCGGCACGCUGGACCUCUUCUGACGCUGAGGCGCGAAAGCCAGGGGAGCAAACGGG
rnacentral:rRNA from 1 species